rnacentral:rRNA from 1 species
UACAGAGGUCUCAAGCGUUGUUCGGAUUCAUUGGGGCGUAAAAGGGUGCGUAGGCGGCGCGGUAAGUCGGGUGUGAAAAUCCUCGGAGCUUAACUCCGAAACUUGCAUUCGAUACUGCCGUGAUUGAGGACUGGAGAGGAGACGUGGAAUUUACGGUGUAGCGGUGAAAAUGCGUAGAUAUCGUAAGGAAGACCAGUGGCGAAGGCGGGUCUCUGGACAGUUCCUGACGCUGAGGCACGGAAGGCCCAGGGGAGCAAACGGG